rnacentral:misc_RNA from 1 species
GAUGAAUAACGUAGCGAAAUGCGAUAAGUAGUGUGAAUUGCAGAAUUCAGUGAAUCAUCGAAUCUUUGAACGCACAUUGCGCCCCUUGGUAUCCCGAGGGGCAUGCCUGUUCGAGCGUCAUUUCACCACUCAAGCCUGGCUUGGUGUUGGGCGACGUCCCCUUUGGGGACGCGCCUCGAAACGCUCGGCGGCGUGGCACCGGCUUUAAGCGUAGCAGAAUCUUUCGCUUUGGAAGUCGGGGCCCCGUCUGCCGGAAGACCUACUCGCAAGGUUGACCUCGGAUCAGGCAGGGAUACCCGCUGAACUUAAGCAUAUCAAUAAGCGGAGGA